rnacentral:rRNA from 1 species
GAUAAACGCUGGCGGCGUGCUUAACACAUGCAAGUCGAGCGAGAAAAGUUCUUCGGAGCUUUUCUAGCAGCGGACGGGUGAGUAACACGUGGGCAACCUGCCUCAUAGAGGGGAAUAGCCUUCCGAAAGGAAGAUUAAUACCGCAUAACAUUGUUGAAAGGCAUCUUUUAACAAUCAAAGGAGCAAUCCGCUAUGAGAUGGGCCCGCGGCGCAUUAGCUAGUUGGUGAGGUAACGGCUCACCAAGGCGACGAUGCGUAGCCGACCUGAGAGGGUGAUCGGCCACAUUGGAACUGAGACACGGUCCAGACUCCUACGGGAGGCAGCAGUGGGGAAUAUUGCACAAUGGGGGAAACCCUGAUGCAGCAACGCCGCGUGAGUGAUGAAGGUCUUCGGAUUGUAAAGCUCUGUCUUUAGGGACGAUAAUGACGGUACCUAAGGAGGAAGCCACAGCUAACUACGUGCCAGCCGCCGCAGUAAAAC